AUUGCCAAGCCAUGUAUCCAGACGCUCAGUCUAAGGCUCUUGGCCCUGGGUAGCGUUUUGAAAAGGCUGGUUAUCCUUAAGUACUGAAGAUUGAUAAAGCCCACUUACUUACUUAAAAGAAUAUGCCCUGAAAUGUGUUUUCUGUGCCACUGACACCAGAAAUGCUAUUUAGAAGAAGUUAUCAGUAAUCCUGACAAAGGAUGCUUCCUGCAGCUCAAAUCAGGCUGGAGGUGCCUUUAUAUUUUUCAUUGAAUUACUGUUUUGGUGACUCGAAUGAAUCAUCAAUUCAUUUAUUUGUCUUCAAAUGUCUGAGGGCACUUACGGUCUAAAAAAGGAGGAAUGUGUUUCUGAUCAUCUGAAUCUUAAUCAUGUCCAACUGCCUGCAAAAUUUCCUGAAAAUUACAAGCACUCGUCUUCUAUGUUCAAGAUUAUGCCAACAGUUAAGAAGUAAAAGGAAGUUUUUCGGAACUGUGCCAAUAUCCAGAUUGCAUAGGCGAGUUGUCAUUACAGGCAUUGGCUUAGUGACUCCUCUUGGUGUUGGAACUCACGUGGUUUGGGAUCGUCUUAUCGGAGGAGAGAGUGGAAUUGUUUCACUGGUUGGUGAAGAGUAUAAGAGUAUCCCUUGCAGUGUUGCUGCUUAUGUGCCAAGAGGUAGUGAUGAAGAGCCCGGGCUCUGAGCACAAACUCAGAUCCCAAGUUGGCAUGUCGACCAUUUCAUCCAAAGAGAGAUGGUUU
rnacentral:sRNA from 1 species